rnacentral:rRNA from 1 species
CAGUAGCCGCGGGAAUACGUAGGGUGCAAGCGUUAAUAGGAAUUACUGGGCGUAAAGCGUGCGCAGGCGGUUAUAUAAGACAGAUGUGAAAUCCCCGGGCUCAAACUGGGAACUGCAUUUGUGACUGUAUAGCUAGAGUACGGCAGAGGGGGAUGGAAUUCCGCGUGUAGCAGUGAAAUGCGUAGAUAUGCGGAGGAACACCGAUGGCGAAGGCAAUCCCCUGGGCCUGUACUGACGCUCAUGCACGAAAGCGUGGGGAGCAAACAGGAUUAGAUACCCGUGUAGUCCCUGUCUCUUAUAC